AUCGCUUCUCAGCCUUUUGGCUAAGAUCAAGUGUAGUAUCUGUUCUUAUCAGUUUAAUAUCUGAUACGUCCUCUAUCUGAGGACAAUAUAUUAAAUGGAUUUUUGGAGCAGGGAGUUGGAAUAGGAACUUGCUCCCUCCACUCCACGCAGGAAUGGUGCACCCCCU
rnacentral:snRNA from 1 species